rnacentral:rRNA from 1 species
AUUGAACGCUGGCGGCAUGCCUUACACAUGCAAGUCGAACGGCAGCACGGGAGCAAUCCUGGUGGCGAGUGGCGAACGGGUGAGUAAUAUAUCGGAACGUGCCCAGUCGUGGGGGAUAACGUAGCGAAAGCUACGCUAAUACCGCAUACGAUCUACGGAUGAAAGCGGGGGAUCGCAAGACCUCGCGCGAUUGGAGCGGCCGAUAUCAGAUUAGGUAGUUGGUGAGGUAAAGGCUCACCAAGCCGACGAUCUGUAGCUGGUCUGAGAGGACGACCAGCCGCACUGGGACUGAGACACGGCCCAGACUCCUACGGGAGGCAGCAGUGGGGAAUUUUGGACAAUGGGCGCAAGCCUGAUCCAGCAAUGCCGCGUGCAGGAUGAAGGCCUUCGGUUGUAAC